rnacentral:rRNA from 1 species
UACCGUGAGGGAAAGGUGAAAAGCACCCCGACAAGGGGAGUGAAAUAGUACCUGAAACUGGAUGCCUACAAACAGUGGGAGGCCGCAAGGCUGACCGCGUACCUUUUGUAUAAUGGGUCAUCGACUUGGUCUAUCUAGCAAGCUUAAGCCGUUAGGUGUAGGCGCAGCGAAAGCGAGUCUUAAUAGGGCGUCGAGUUAGAUGGAUCAGACCCGAAACCGAGUGAUCUAGGCAUGACCAGGCUGAAGGUAAGGUAACACUUACUGGAGGGCCGAACCCACAUCUGUUGAAAAAGAUCGGGAUGAGUUGUGCCUAGGGGUGAAAGGCCAAUCAAACUCGGAAAUAGCUGGUUCUCUGCGAAAUCUAUUUAGGUAGAGCGUCAUCCGAAUACCCUCGGGGGUAGAGCACUGGAUGGGUAAUGGGGCCCCACAGGCUUACUGAUCCUAACCAAACUCCGAAUACCGAGGAGUACUAGAUGGCAGACACACUGCGGGUGCUAACGCCCGUAGUGGAGAGGGAAACAACCCUGACCUCCGGCUAAGGCCCCCAAUUCAUGGCUAAGUGGGAAAGCAGGUGAGACGACCAAAACAACCAGGAGGUUGGCUUAGAAGCAGCCAUCCUUUAAAGAUAGCGUAACAGCUCACUGGUCUAAAUAAGUUGUCUUGCGGCGAAGAUGUAACGGGGCUCAAGCCAUGAGCCGAAGCCGAGGAGUGCGUAUGCACUGGUAGCAGAGCGUAGUGUG